CCUGGGGCGUAGCUCCAUAUACGCUGUCACGCCAUGGCGUGCACAUAGUGGGGUCUAAAAAAAUUAUUUACGCCGGAAAAUAAAAUAAAAAUACAAACGAGUAAUAACGAAAUAUAAAAUUUAACUUAACCAAGCAAAUAAGAAAACGAUACAGUAUAACUAUUUUAAUAACGUCACAAUUAUAUUUCAAUAUGUAAAAUCAACUCUGACCGAAAUCGUUUUUAAUUUAUUUGCGUGAAUUUUCCGGUACUCAACGUAAAAAGCAUAAAAAAGCAACAUAAACAUGAGCAGUUCAAAGCGUGACAAGCCUAAAUGGCAAACUUUAGACGAUUUUUUCACUAAAAAUCCUACUAACAGUACCAAUAGUGAUAGUCAUGCAGAAACACAACCAGCAACAAAUCAGGACAAUAUAGACUCUGAAACGUCACAAAUUGACAAUGUCAGAACUUAGCUUUAGCGCCACAUCAGUGUCAAUGUCAAAGCCAGUACAAAAAAAUCUGGGACCAUCUUAUCCAGAUAUUUCUUUGUUGAAAGAUUCGACAUCCUUAGGAAAAGAUGUAAAAUUACAACUUUUGACCGACAAAUGGAAAGAUGUCCACACCUUCAAAUUUCCGACAAGGUAUAUUAACUCUAUUUCAAUAAAAAAAAUAUAUAAUGCGCUUCGUGGAACUAACAGGGCUGCAGGGGUUGUAAACCCACGUCUUUGUUUGGAUAUAAGGGUUGUAAAUUUCGUACAUAAUUUUGGCAAAACAUAACCAAUUGACUUUUGUUCCAUUUUUAUCUCGCAACUUUGGAUCCGACCCUGAACAAUUUAAUGAAUUACAGUAACCUUUUUACAAGUUUGACUGUCCCUUUGGUAUCUUUCGCCCCUCUUUUAUACGUAAAUUACGAUAAGGGUAAUCAUGGUAAUCUGAAUUCCCUCUUUAAAUUAUUGUGAUAUUUUGAAAGGCUACUUCAUAUUGUUCUGUUUUGAAACCUUCCUGUCGAAAUAAGGCGUCAACGCAUUCAAGACUUCAAGAGAGAGGUUGAACGCUGGCGAGCUCGCUGUCGAAUCCUACCUAGUGAUAAAGUGCCGACAACACUGUGUCAAACGCUUGAUAUCGUUAAUCCCGCAUUGUAUCCGUCUAUUGAUACAAUUAAUACUGUGUGUUCUUACAAUGUCCGUUGCUAGUGCUACAGCUGAAAGGUUUGAAAACGUACAUCCGUUCCACAAUGAGAAAUGACAGAUUGUCAGCUUUGGGUUUAAUGCACAUCCACCGUGAUUUUCAGGUAAACUUAGACAAGGCCAUGAACGUUUUUGUUGCAGCUAAAAAACAAAGGGCAGAUUUUUUAUGUUUCUCAAUAAAAAAUUAUUAAAUACAGUCUUAAUAAUUUGCUAUUCAAACCAAUUUUAGGCCUUCAGAACGCACCAUUUUGCGUCUAGCCAAAAAAAACCUUGGGGGGGGGGGCAAUCCCCCCCCCCCCACACUGGUUGGCGUGCACUUCAAAAGGACCCAGCUACGCCCCAG
rnacentral:lncRNA from 1 species